rnacentral:rRNA from 1 species
UACGUAGGUGGCAAGCGUUGUCCGGAUUUAUUGGGUUUAAAGAGCGUGUAGGCGGCCAAACAGGUCCACUGUGAAAACUCGAGGCUCAACCUCGAGAGGUCGGUGGAAACCGUCUGGCUAGAGUCCGGAAGAGGAGAGUGGAAUUCCCGGUGUAGCGGUGAAAUGCGCAGAUAUCGGGAAGAACACCCGUGGCGAAGGCGGCUCUCUGGGACGGUACUGACGCUGAGACGCGAAAGCGUGGGGAGCGAACAGG